rnacentral:sRNA from 1 species
GAAGUUGCUCUCAGAGGCAGCGUGCUGGUGUGCUCCUUGUGAAAUUCCACCAUGGCGUACCGUGGCCAGGGCCAGAAAGUGCAGAAGGUUAUGGUGCAGCCCAUCGUAUCCUACGCAGGAUGUCAGAACUAGGAGAGAUCGCGGAUUCAGGUGUGGCUCUAUGAGCAAGUGAAUAUGCGGAUAGAAGGCUGUAUCAUUGGUUUUGAUGAGUAUAUGAACCUUGUAUUAGAUGAUGCAGAAGAGAUUCAUUCUAAAACAAAGUCAAGAAAACAACUGGGUCGGAUCAUGCUAAAAGGAGAUAAUAUUACUCUGCUACAAAGUGUCUCCAACUAGAAAUGAUCAAUGAAGUGAGAAAUUGUUGAGAAGGAUACAGUUUGUUUUUAGAUGUCCUUUGUCCAAUAUGAACAUUUAUUCAUAUUGUUUUGAUUACCCUUAUGUUAUUACAAGAUGGCAAUAAAUACUGUGGGAUUGUUUGUAU